GAUGAACGCUAGCUACAGGCUUAACACAUGCAAGUCGAGGGGAAACGACAUCGGAAGCUUGCUUUUGAUGGGCGUCGACCGGCGCACGGGUGAGUAACGCGUAUCCAACCUGCCCACCACUUGGGGAUAACCUUGCGAAAGUAAGACUAAUACCCAAUGACGUCUCUAGAAGACAUCUGAAAGAGAUUAAAGAUUUAUCGGUGAUGGAUGGGGAUGCGUCUGAUUAGCUUGUUGGCGGGGUAACGGCCCACCAAGGCGACGAUCAGUAGGGGUUCUGAGAGGAAGGUCCCCCCACAUUGGAACUGAGACACGGUCCAAACUCCUACGGGAGGCAGCAGUGAGGAAUAUUGGUCAAUGGGCGAGAGCCUGAACCAGCCAAGUAGCGUGCAGGAAGACGGCCCUAUGGGUUGUAAACUGCUUUUAUAAGGGAAUAAAGUUAGUCUCGUGAGACUUUUUGCAUGUACCUUAUGAAUAAGGACCGGCUAAUUCCGUG
rnacentral:rRNA from 1 species